CCUACGGGAGGCAGCAGUGGGGAAUAUUGGGCAAUGGGCGCAAGCCUGACCCAGCAACGCCGCGUGAAGUAAGAAGGCUUUCGGGUUGUAAACUUCUUUUCUCAGGGACGAAGAAAGUGACGGUACCUAAGGAAUAAGCACCGGCUAACUACGUGCCAGCCGCCGCGGUACGACGUAGGUGGCAAGCGUGAGCCGGAUUUACUGGGUGGAAAGGGCGUGUAGGCGGGGACGCAAGUCAGAUGUGAAAACCACGGGCUCAACCUGUGGCCUGCCUUGGAUACUGUGUGUCUGGAGUACUGGAGGGGCAGACGGAAUUCCUAGUGUAGCGGUGAAAUGCGUAGAUAUUAGGAGGAACACCAGUGGCGAAGGCGGUCUGCUGGACAGCAACUGACGCUGAGGCGCGAAAGCGUGGGGAGCAAACAGGAGUAGAUACCCGGGUAGUC
rnacentral:rRNA from 1 species